CUUAAGCAGCCAGGCAGCUUAGCUCAUGGGGUCUAGUACAAGAUAAUGGGGAUUCUGUCACUGAGUCCACAAAGGCAGAGCUGAGGUCUGAGUGAUCAAGGAGGUCACAGGAAGCCACCUUUAGCAUCCACACAAGCCCAGGCUCCCUGGAGGAAGGAUGGUAGGGAUGGCUGUCCUCGUACUGAGCCUCUUGUCCACUGCAGUCACUCUGAACAACCAGACACAGCAGUCUUCUCAACACAGCCAGAUCCCCAACAAGGCUUGUGCCAGCUGCCACCACUGCCCAGGCACCAGUGUUACAACCUAGCGUCUUCUCAGCACAUUGGAGUCCUCUGAGCCUCUGACAACUCUCUUUCUCACCCAUUUCUGAGGAUUGUACCACUUCUGUGCCAUCUUAAAACCCCUCUGGGAUAGGUUUACUGGGCCUAUAGCAGAGAGCUGACAAGUCAUACACCCACUAUGGGGAGCCAGUAUCUCUGGAAAGACAGACACCAAGCGGAUAGACAUCUGGAUGUGGCAGUGACUGAAAAUCUGUACAGCAGAGGUGACCGUUCAGUGAGAGAGAAGCAGAAUGCAACAGCUGGAAACAGCUUGGCCAGUGAGGCAUCCCGUCAACUCAAAUACCGCUGCAUCAGCCUCACUCUAUGGAGAAGACUGCCACUGAGCUGGUGUGCUCUGACUGCCGUCCUGAUCUUCAAAGCUGUUUCUCACUUACAGGAGAACAUUAUGGCAGGACAUAAUGGGAAUUUUGUCCUUUGCUGCCUGGGAAUCCUCAGUCUCCUCUGAAAGGUAGGAUGGUUCAGUAGCCGUGAAUGACAGCCCACCAGUCCAGGUACAGACCCAACUCUGAACCACGCCAAAGAUACAUGUAUGCUCAGGCCCAUCCUAAAACUGAACUUGGUCUAAAAGAUCACCUCAGGUGGCUGAGAGAGAGCAUCAUCUGGGUUGACUGUCUAGUGUCUGAAACACAGCAAGUGCUUAGCACAUGGUAGCUUUGCCUCCACCCCUGCCAGCGUGUUUAACAUCCUGGAUUAACUUCACACCUCCUCGAGAGUAGAGACAGCUUGAGCCAUGCCUGCUGAACAGAUGCUGCCAGUCUGUGAGCCCAAGGAGUAAGCAGUCAGCCAUUUUGGCUCCCUAGAGGGGCAGACCCACAGCACCCCACCACCCCACUUCAAGCCUUGCAGAGUCAUGAGAGACCCACGGCAGAGCUACACCAUGGCUGCGUCUGCCUGUGCUUUCCCCUCCUUAGCAGCCCUGACAGCAGUCACUGCUUGCAUUUCACAGAGGCAAGAGCCUGUCUCAGACCAAGCUGGCCAUUUGAGCUAGGCCCAAACCUAGCAUGGCUAAUCUGUCCUGUCUACCCUGUCCAUGGCGGAAGUUUGCCUGGGGAGAACCUCUUCCAUGCCAAUUCAUACAUUCUGUUGAGACACCAGCUGCAUGACCACGCUGUAGCCAAGGGUUCUAGUCAGACCCUCAGGUAGAUCUGAGGCCCAAGGCCAGCACAAGAGGAAUCCAUUUUCUGCAGGAGGCCAGCAGACAGGACCCUACAGUGUCCCUCAAGGCCUGGCACCUGCCAGACACUUGGAAUCAAUCUUCCUAGGCUAAAGAGACCCAAUUGGGGAAUGCAGGGCCCAGGUUGGAAUGAGAGAGCUCUGGUUUCCCAGGACGCUGCAGCUGAGGAGCAGUAGGUAUGGGGUACCCUGGCUGAAGCCCAGCCUCCUCCCCCUCCCCCCUCAGUGGGGGGCCCAAGAGUGCUCACCUGGAGCCAUAAACAAGAUGGUUCUGAGCCCCACCUGUUGCCUGGCAUGUAUGCCAAGACCUGCGGGGGUGGGGUCCCCAAAAAGGAAGCAUCAUCCCUCCUGAUGUGCCUAUGCCAAACUUUUGAAGCCCUAUGAAAGCUUCCAGACCAUUGCUCUGCCAAACCUCACCUGCGUGCCAGGCAGCCACCCUCCUCCAGCCCAGCUGGGGCAGGAACAGAAAACCCAGCUAACUCUCAGUAAGCCAAAGCCAGCCUCUGCAGCUUCAGUUUCUGCCUUAGGCAAGGGCAGGGGGCCAUUCUGGUGCAUCUCAAAGGAUAGCCCAGGGGUCUGAGGAGAAGCCUCUGAGCUACCACGUGGUCUCCCUGGGGCCUGGUGGGAAGCAUGAGGACUUUCUUAGGGUGCAGGGAGUUGGCAUGCACUCCACCCAGGGCUCUCAGCUGUUCUGCGGCUCUGAGCAGGAGUUUGCCCCGAAGCAGCAGGCAGCCUGAUUGGGUGGUCCCUAGGGAGGCAGCUGAGUUCCCAGACCCAGACUUCAGGCCUGCCUCCACCUGAGCUGCGAGGUCUGUCUCCCCUGUCCAUGGUGGAAGCUCUCCCUGUGGAGAACCUCUUCCAUGCCAAUUUGUACAUUCUGCUGAGACACCGGCUGCAUGACCAGGCUGUAGCCAAGGGUUUCUAGUCAGACCGUCAGGUAGAUCUGAGGCCCAAGGCCAGCACAAAAGGAGUCCCUUUUCUGCAGGAGGCCAACAGACAGGAUGCAAAUACCCCUUUCCCAACUGUAGACAGAGGGCGGAGCUUGCAGCAGUUGGGGUUUUUGUAGGGGACAGAUAUGGAAUGGCACUCGACCGUGCCCUGGCAAGGGGAGAAGGGAAGGCUUGGAUAUUGACCUUCCCAAGAAAGGGUAAGUGAGCAGUUUUUCUUCUCUGCUUCCCUUCUCACAACCACUCCCUCCCUGUUUUUUUUUUUAAAUCUUCAAAGUGAUUUGCAGAACCGAGCUAAUUAAUUUCCCAAAGUGGUGGGGCCAUCACCUGUCUCCCUCCUGAGUCCCGCCCCAGCCCCCAAGCAUCUGGGGAAGGAGAUGGCAGAGGGGAUAACUCAGCUGGCAGAGGCAGGGGAGAAGGGAGGGCGGGCCGGCCUGCAGCAGCCCAGAUGCAGGGAGAGGAGAUUAGAGAAGGCAGGAGGCCAGUGGGCAGGCCUCCACCUGCCCUUCCAGGAGCAAGCCGUGGCCCAGAUCUGCAGUCAGCUCUGUCCCCGCAGCAGCCACUGUGCCAGCAUCACCAGGACCACGCUCUCCACAGAGAGCCUCCUGGCCUCCUCUGCCCUGGGUGAACAUUUAUUCAUCCACCCACUCAUCCACACCCCCCUCUCAUUUAACUAUCCAAGACCAACGCUAACCUUGCUCUCAGCCCUUCUAUCCCUGGAUUAGGAGCAGGAGUCACAUCUUAAGGAACCCGAUAGAUGGCAAGACAGACUACCAGACACUGGGAUGAGUCGUGGACAGGACCAGAGAUGCACAGGCGUAUGCCGCAACUUCCCUGCAUAGACAUUUGGUCUCACACUGUGGUUUGAUGGUGAAAGGUGUUUGCCAGGGAGGAAUGAGUUAGCAGACAAGACAUUUAGGCAGAGAGGAUGUCAAUCACAGAACAAGCAGGCAGAGGAGUCUGGGGAAUUGAGUUCCUGAUGACUAGGAAAGACAAUGAAGAUGCAAGACUGUCCACAGGAAGACAUGGGAUUGUGGGGUCUCAGGCAAUGCCCCUGCCUUUGCUCACCCCUCCCUGGUGUACAGAGAUGACAGCAGAGUGUGGUCCCAUGGGAAACAGAAGGUACUGAGUGAACAAGAGGCGAGCUACCAGGGCUCCAGCCUCCUGGCCCUUCCAGUUGUCUGAGGAUCUGGGGGAUCAAUACUCAGGACCUGGAACCUGGGUUUCAUUGACAGAUAGGAAGUUUUGCCUAAAACAUUAGGGUGGGUUCUCUGUUGCCAUGAUAAAACACCCUGACUAACAUCAGCUCUGGGGAGGAAAGGGUUUAUUUUAGUCUACAGGCCAGGAAAACACACAGAACCUGAAGCAGAAAUCAGAGGAAUGUUGCUGCUGGGCCACUUCAGGCUCACACUUAGCUUUCUUAUAUCUGCCUAGGGAACGGUGCUACCCACAGUGGACUGGGCUUUCACACAUCCAUUAGCAAUCAAGAUAAUUCCUCACAGACAUGUCUAUGGGCCAAUCUGAUCUAGGCAAUCCCUCAAUUGAGACUCCUUUCUCAGUUGUCUCAGGCUAUUGUCACAUUGACAAUCAAAGCUAGCUAGCAACAGAACAAGAAGUUCGGAGGUUAUGUAGGUAACACCUUGAGCCGGCUGAAGGGCUCACUCUUUGCAUGCCCUAACCUCUCCCUUCACAGUCACAGACAGCUGCUCUCACUCCAGUACCACACCCAGUCAUGGUAACAGCCAAGCAAAGAGAAAAGGAAGAUCUUGCUCCACACAUAUCCCUUUCUGGGGAGAACCACACCCAGGAGCCCCCAGCAGUCUUUUCCUUAAAUCCUCUAGGCCAAAUGAAGUCACACAUCCUUCCCCAGGCAGGGCCUGGUCAAGGAGAGUAAAGCUACUCAGAUUAGCCAAGCUCAAUCUGAACCUGUCUCCUCAAUUAAACACCACACUGUCACACUGAGGAGUCUGGGUUCUUUAAAUAGGAAAGAGCAAACAGAAUCUAUCUACUGUUAACAUUCUAAAUGCAUUGAAAGAGAGGGAGAGAGAGGGAGAGAGAAAGAGACCAACCCUCCUUCCUCACAUUGUGUCACUGACCUUGAGGCAUUUUUCUUAGCAGCUCUGAACUGCAGCAGUCAGCUUGUUUUCAAGAGAAUUAACUCCAUGGAACCACGCCAUUCCACCCAGGCAUGUGUGUAUAAGCCCCGCCUGCACAGCUGGAUAUCUGGCAGGUGACCCCAGGGAGGGAUGGGUAGGGAGUGUCAUCACCAUGAACUUAGUUGGUGGUUCCAAGUCACCAAAGGCCAGAGUCCCAUCACCUGUCGCAGGCCACAGAGGCUGGACCAACUGCAAGGCUGAGGAAGAGCUGGGGACCAUUUUCUCUUGGCAAAUGAGAGAAAGUUGCUUUGGAUGGUAACUUAUAGAGGCCACACCCUGCUUCAGACAGCACCGUGGAGAAGGGUCAGACAAUGGUAACCGAUCUAGACAAAGAGCAGCAGUGCUCGGAAGCAGAGCGCGAGCACAGACAACACCUGGAGUCAGAAGCAAGGCAGGGCGGGGCUGUGCUAGACUCCUCCUUGCAGACUCUCAAAUCUGAGAUGAGGAUGAAGCAAGACAGCCAUGAUACAUGUGUGCCCACACACAGAGGUUGAGGGGCCGGCUUUGGAGUAUAUGCUCAAGUUCAAUUCUGCCUCAGCUGCCUGUGCUAUGACCUGAAGGAAGGAGACAGAUUCUCGACCCCUUAGUACCUGGUCUCUGGGUUGUGCAGCCAGCACAAGGAUCAUGGGGAGGCUUGUAUGUUUGUGGAUUUUCACACACAAGGACUCUCUGAUGCAGGGCAACAGGCAUCAACUGGCCUUUGAUCCUAGUAAAUUUUCUCAGAUGCAUUAAUGUGCCAAGUCCAGUGCCGGGGCUGUGAGGACAGAAAGAAAUCUCCCUCUGCCCUUAUGCCUCUACGCCUCACACCUUUGUUUAGGUACUAGGAACUCCUUGGUAUGAGCCUGGGCCAAACAACUGUAAUGAAAUGAUUUAUUGGAAAAAUCGAGAAGUGCUAAAAAGCUAGAAGGAACCAGGACCUGGACAUUUUGAGGGAACGCAAGCAGAAUACUUUCCUUCUUUCUUAGUCUUGCUUGGAGCAGAGGCACUUAGGGCUUAAGUUCUGCCCUGGUUCUGCCGCUGGCUGCUGGGUGACCGAAUAGAUUAUCUGUCUCUCUGGGCUUCAGAGUCUUAAGCACCCAAUGGGUCCACGGUGCGAAUAGGAACACCACAGGAGAAUGGAAUGAGCCCUGGGGUGGCAUAAGACUGAUGGGGUCGAGCUGAGGACCAGGAACCCUGCAGGGCGUAGCCCCGCCCUCCUCCUGUCAGGCCCUAGCUCCUGAUUGGGAGUUUUGGCUCUUGCCUAGAAAGCUAGAAGGUUGUGUCUCCUCACUCAGUCCUGAAGGCCUGUGUAUCUGCAGGCCCUGAAAUCUCUGAAUCAAGUGUUUCAAAAUCCCCAGGGAGGAGUCUCCGGCUUGAGUGAAAACUCCUACUGUGCGUGGUAGCACCUCACUGUAGUUAAGUGUCCCCCAAAACUGUUAUUGGGAGAAGCCAGGGUCUUGCAGCACGCCUGCUGCCUAGCCCUAGACUGUCCCGCUUCUGCCCCAGUGAAGACAAGCUGUGGUAGCCACUAAAUUCCAUCCUGCUGAUGAAGGUCAGCAGACACAGAAGAGGGUGCUGCAGGCCACAGCGAGAACUAAGGAUCAGAGUGCAGGGUGAUCUCACAGGCAGGCAGGCAGGCAUCUUACUUAACUGGUAUUUCCUUUGGCCCUCUUCCUUCUCCCUGCCUUCAAAUUCACAGAAUCGGAAGAAUUUUAACCCUUGGUUGUAUCCCCUCUGGGGAUACAAAUAAAAUAAAAUAAAAUAAAAUAAAAUAAAAUAAAUGACCUACAGAUAUAUUACUAAACUCAACACAAGAAAUGAGAAAAAUUACUGACCACAUGCUGAAUAUAGACACUAAGCAUUAUACUAUAUGUGAACAAAAACCAUCCCAUAAGAUUAUCUUCUAAGAUCAUCAUAAAGCCAAGAAAAUAUGAAAAUACAGACUACCUAGGAAUUCACAGACAAUAUCAGCCCCAGAGAACUAAGUGUACUGUAAGAUAUCAGAAAUGUUAACAAUGGCCCAGUGUGGAAACAGUUCACAGUCAUGGGUAGGGACAUUUAAUGAUGCAAAAGAACUCAUCCAACCCUACAUACAAUUUGAAACAAAAUCCCAACAAAUUUACCUGGUGAUUUUGACAGAUUAAUUUUAAAUUCUAUUUGGUUUUAAAAAAAUAAGAAAAUUAGACCUAACAUAAUUAAGAAAAGUUAUUUUAAAAAAAAGAUCAGCACCUAACAUUCAGUUGUGUUCUUACACAGCAGCAGCAAGCAGCAGGAGCUCUGGGGCUCCAGCACAGGACACCAACCACACUUCCCUAGAACAUUCCAGGGUUGGGUUCCAGGCCCAAACUUUCCCCUCCCCCUUCCAAAACACAGGAGGUCUAGAGACAAUUCCACUUAUAAAGAAACAAAAAGCGUAAGCCACACAGGGAUGCCAUGAACAGAAGGUGUUGAAGCUUACAUCUGGGAACUGCAAACUACUAUCAAACAGGACUAGGAAAAGACAGCCCGUGGCCAUCAUGCAAAAGUGGUUGGUGCUGUCACCAUGGCAACAAAGCCAGCUGCUCUAUACUUUCAACGCAAUCCAGAUAAAAAUGUCUAGUUGUACCUCUUGCAGAAAUUGACAAGCUGAUUCUAAAAUGUGUCAGGAAAUCCAAGGGAACGGGUGCCUAAUGUGAUCAUGAAAUGAACUGGGCUGGGAAGCUUCCAGACAUAUUCCUAGUGGUAGGUACACACAGGCCAGCACAGCAGUGCAGAGCAGGAUAGAAAAGUUCUGUGUCCAUCACUGAUGGGCUUCAGACAAGGACACCAAGACAGUCUGGAGACCAAGGAGCAUGCUUACCAACAGCCGCUUUGAGAACAACUGCUGUCCACACUGCAAAUGGACAGAUGUGGAACCAACUUCAGAUCACAUUUGAAAAUGAACUCAGAAUGGGGCAAAGCCAUCAAUGUGCAAGUUAAAUAAAAACCCUAGAAGAAGAACACUCAAGAGAAGGGCUGUAGUGUUGGGUUAGGCAACAGUUCCUUUAGCACAGGUUACCCAAGGGAAACACCAAUGAAUUAGACUUGAUCAAAAUUACAAACUCGUGCCUCAAAGGAGAUUUGAGCCACAGCAUUUACCUGAUGGAGGGCUAGUAUCCAAAAACAGAACGCUCACAAUUCCACAGCAAAACGAAACGAAACAAAACAAAACAAACAAACAAAAAUAAAAUGUAAAAAAAAAAUUUGAACAGAAACUUCUCCAAAAAAAGACCCCAUAAACAAAAGAUCUAAAACAUCAGCCAUAAGAGAAACAUUAAUCCAAACCACAAAGGAACACAACACACUCACAAGGGUGAGUGUCAUCACUGGACAGACAGCAGCACGUGCUAGCAAGGAUACGGGAAUUAGAUCCUCACACAUUCCUUGUAGCAACUUGAAGUAGUGCAGCCCACAUGGAAAGGUCAGGCAGUUCUUCAAAGCAUAAAAGUUAAAGUUGUCACAUGACCCAUGCUUACCACCUUGCUAUUCACUCAAGAGAAUUGAAGACUCUCAUUCAUAGAAAAGCUUGUACAUGUGUGUUCAGCACACCAUUAUCCUCAGUACCCAAAAGAUACAAGUAAGUCAAACAUCCAUCCACUGAUGAAUGGUUGAGUCACACAAUGGAAUAUUAUGCAGGCAUGAAAAGGCAUUAAGUACGGCACAUGCCAAAACAAAGAACCUUGAGAACACUAAGCUACUUCAAAGCCUGGCACAAAGGCCACAUGUGUAUAUAUGUAUGUGUGUAUAUGAUUUCAUAUGCAUGAAAUCCUGGCAACAGACAAAUUUAUCAACACACAAAACAGAUCAGUGGUUGCUAUGGGCAACAAGAAGUACUGCUAAUAGCAGGGUUACUUUCAGAGAGAAAGUUUCUGCCAUGGCAGAACUGUACAGAAAUGGGACAGUACAAUUUAAAAUAAGUUGAAUGGAAUGUGGAGUGACUCACAAUAAAAAAAAAAAAACACAGAGAAAAAGAUACAAACUAUCUAUGAAUGAAAGGAAGCCAAGGACCAAGACAUGCCAGAAGAGAAGCCAGGCUUGCCUUGCCAGCUGCCAACAUGCCCUCUCUCUCUCUCUCUCUCUAAUCUCAAGAUGGGACACCUGGCUCCUUGCUGGCUUGGUGUUCCUACAAUGCUACUGUGUCUAUCUACUUACUUAGGGAGGGGCCCCCUUAAAAACACCACUGGUAACAUUCCGUAGAUGUUUGCAGGUAUCUCCAUCCCCUGACCUACAAGGUGAUAAAUCAUUCUGUCAGAGGCACAGCAACAUUAAAGCCCUGCCCCCAGACAUGUAACAGUCUAAGGACACCCAACAUUCAAGGAAAUAGGCCGGAGCUAGCUGGUCCCAGAUCUGCCUCUCGGACUGUGGUCCUUGGGCCUUCAGGGAGACAUCAGGCACACAGCAGCAUCCCGGCCCACUCUGAGUCCCUGUGUCUGGGAUUUCCCCACACGAGCUUCUACAAACUGCUAAGAAGCAUUGCUGCAAAAGUUACCACAGACAAUUGCACAAUCGGGACACCUAGAUGGUGCAGUUGACUCUCUUAGGUGGACUGCUCAAGAAGAGGGGUGUACCUGGAUGUCUUCAAGAUGCAGAGCUGGGGUCUGCAUCCUGCUAACAUGCUGAAGCCAUGAGGGUUUACUCAACCCUCACAAUUAUGAGAAGCUCCACUAGGUGCUGACAGCCAUGGGAUAGGCACCCAGAGAAGAGGGCCAUUGGGGUUCUGCUGGAGUUGGAGACUGGACCUAAGGGAUGCCACAUUCCCGUCCUGAGGAAGUAAGAGAAAUGCUGUUUGGAUUCAUUUCUCAGUCACACCUGGCCAAAUCGUCCUGGGUUCAAACACAUUGCAGAAGGUUCUUGAGUUAUCAGAUUCUGUCUGUCAUCUGGAAAUGCUGGGAUGAGGUUCCCAAGGUUGAUUUCCAGGACACUUUGCACGGUCCGAGCUGUCACAGAGACAGCAGAGAGAACACAAGUGUUGUACUUUUGCCCAAUUUUAUCCACUCUGCUGGCCCAACGGACCUUUUAGAGCAAUUAAAACCUGGAGUCGCUCUGGUCAGCAGUCCACUAGUAUCAGAUAGUUUAGGCCUGCUCUGCUCCGGUUAUGUAGAACCCACGAAGAACCUUGUAGCUGUGGAGCUCUGUGGCAUGGCUUCACGGCCUUUGGAUGUUUAUGGAGUCAUUCUUUCACUGUCCAGAAAACCAGACAGUCACAGGUUCUGGCACCAGAACUGUGUUAAGGCAGAGGCCACACCACUCCUCUUCACGUCAAGACCCUAGGCAUAUAUUUAGCAAGCUGCCUGGUGUCAUUUUGUUCUGAUCUGGUGAAGCAAAUCUUUCCCUUCUGACCUGAAUUUAAGGUCGUAAAAGAAAUAAUGUCAUGCAUACUUAAACCCCCAGCAUCAGAAUGGUGUUGAUGACAACUAUUCUGCCAGCCAGAUCUCACUGGGGCUAAACCUCAGCAUUCAGCCUCUGGCAUCCCCACCCGCCACCCUCCCCUGCACACUAUGGGUAUGACUCUGGGCACAGGAAUCAUCUGCUCACUGUCCUUACACUGUCCACCCACUGAGGCCUCAGCUCCUUGCAAACAUCGGUACCGGAAGGUGUCAGAGGGUCUGCCUGGUGACAAGCUUGCCGGCCUGACUUUCUCAGUGGUCACUUCAGCCUCAUGCUGGGGAUGAAGCAGCAAUGAAGGUCCCAGGCUAUGCUCUCACUGGCUUUUCUGCAGAGCCCUGGGCAUGCAGAGUGAUUACUAUAGCGGGUGAAGCUCACUGUAUCGCUCUGACUUACUGGCCUGAAAUGAUUCCACCACUUCAGUGGCUGGGGUACAGCCUGGUGGCAUAGCACAUGCCUGGCAUAUAUAGGAGUGUCUCUGUUCAGGGGGCUGGAGAGAUGGCUCAGUGGUUAGGAGCACUGACUGCUCCUUCCAGAGGUCCUGAGUUCAAAUCCUAGCAACCACAUGGUGGCUCACAACCAUCUGUAAUGGGGAUCUGGUGUCCUCUUCUGGUCUGAAG